rnacentral:rRNA from 1 species
GGUUCAUUCAAAUUUCUGCCCUAUCAACUUUCGAUGCGAAGGUCUUGUCUUCGCAUGGUUGCAACGGGUAACGGAGGGUUAGGGCUCGACCCGGAGAAGGAGCCUGAGAAACGGCUACUACAUCCAAGGAAGGCAGCAGGCGCGCAAAUUACCCAAUCCCGACCGGGGAGGUAGUGACAAUAAAUACUGAUACAGGGCUCUUUUGGGUCUUGUAAUCGGAAUGAGUACAAUUUAAAUCCCUUAACGAGGAACAAUUGGAGGGCAAGUCUGGUGCCAGCAGCCGCGGUAAUUCCAGCUCCAAUAGCGUAUAUUAAAGUUGUUGUGGUUAAAAAGCUCGUAUUG